rnacentral:sRNA from 1 species
GCCGUGGCAGCAAGAGAAGCGGGGGACGUUCUCGGCCCCUCGCCCUGAGAGUCGCGAGGAGAAUCAGUAUUGAGCUUUUAAGUGUCGUCUUGCACAGAUCUGGAAGCAUCUUUGCUAAGUUUUGAAAAACUUGACCGUGCCUCACCAGAUCUUUGGCCAGAACAAUUACCAGGUGUUGCUGAAUUUGCAGCUUCCUUCAAAAGUCCUAUUACUAGUUCUCCACCCAAAUGGAUGGCUGAGAUAGAACGUGAUGACAUCGACAUGUUGAAAG